UGGGGAAUAUUGGACAAUGGGCGAAAGCCUGAUCCAGCAAUACCGUGUGUGUGAAGAAGGCCUUCGGGUUGUAAAGCACUUUUAGUGGGAAAGAAAAGUUCAAAAUUAAUACUUUUGAGCCUUGACGUUACCCACAGAAAAAGCACUGGCUAACUCUGUGCCAGCAGCCGCGGUAAUACAGAGAGUGCGAGCGUUAAUCGGAAUUACUGGGCGUAAAGCGCACGUAGGUGGAUGUUUAAGUCGGAUGUGAAAUCCCUGGGCUUAACCUAGGAAUUGCAUUCGAUACUGGGCGUCUUGAGUAUGGUAGAGGGAAGUGGAAUUUCCGGUGUAGCGGUGAAAUGCGUAGAUAUCGGAAGGAACAUCAGUGGCGAAAGCGGCUUCCUGGACCAAUACUGACACUUAGGUGCGAAAGCGUGGGGAGCAAACAGG
rnacentral:rRNA from 1 species